GGGGGUGAAAGGCAGGGGUGGGGGGUGGAUCCUUCACAAAUGGACAUUUGAGUAAAUGCUGGAAUGAGUUCAGACAUUGGGGGACCUUAGAGAACACAUCAUUAUAUUUUUCAGAAUAAGAAGUUCAUGAGGUUGGGGACCAAGGGGAGAAUAAUAUGAUUUGGCUCUGUGUGCCUUCCAAAACUCAUGUGGAAUUGUAAUGGGGAAUGUCAAAUGUGGGACUUGGUAGAAGGUGAUUUAAUCAUGGUAGAGAAUGGGGGUUGGAAGGUGGAUGUGGGAGAAUGGGGGUUCAUGGUGUGGGUGAGGGUGAAACAUGGGGUUGGGUGGCAGAUCCUUCACACAUGGUUAAAUACUAUCACCUUAAUGCGGUCUGUGCGAUAGUGAGUUCUCAUGAUAAAUGAAUGCUGUCCUGCUGGGUUUUGGACUCGGAUUGGACCUGUGUCCCAAUUGUGUUAUUUUUCUGGGAAAAUCUUCCCUUUGGAUUGAGAAAGCUUACCCAGUGCCUGUGCCAUCACUGUAACUUGAAAGAAAAGAAUUGUCUUUUACAUUCAGGGACUCAUAGGCAGAAGAGAUUGCAGCCUUGUCUUGGAUGAGACUUGAACUUACUACAUUUGAGUUACUGCUGGAAUGAGUUAAGACUUUUGGAAACUUUUGAAAAGGCAUGAUUGUGUUUUGCUCUGUGAGAAGGACAUGAGGUUCUGGGGUAUCAGGGUCAGAAUAAUAUGGGUUGACUGUGUGUCCCUGUAAAACUCACGUGUCAUCCUUAAUGUCGAAGGUGUGCCAGGUGGGAGGUGAUUUAAUCUUGGAUGGGAGGGGGUUGGGUGGAAGGAAAAGGAGGGGUAGUGUGGGGAGGAGUAGGUCGUCAGUAAGGUGGUGGGAGGGUGGUAGUAACUUGCUGCAGAGGCAGAGGCUCAUGGGAAGCCUCUACUAGGACAGUGCAUCUCUGGCUUUGCAGGGUGUUGCCCCCAUGGCUGCUGUCAUGGGCUGGGUUGGUGUCGAGUGCCUGUAGCUUUUCCAUACUGAGGGUGUGAGCUGUUGGUGGACUUAUGAACCUGGAGUCUGGAGGAAGGUGGCCUCCUGUGUGGGGGCUCAAAGCCUAUAUUUUCCUUCUGCACUGCCAUAGUGGAUGUUUCCUAAGAGGUUCUGCUUCUGCAGGAGGCUUCUGCCUGGAAACAGUGGGCGGUGGUGUGGGUGGAGAAUCCUUCACCAUUGGUUAGUCUUCUUGAUGCCGAUGUCCUGAUGGUGAGUUCUUAUGUGAUCUGGUUGUCUAACAGGAUGUCACACCUCUUUCCUCUCUCUGUCUUGCUCCUACUCCUGCCAUAUGAAACAUCUCAUUGCCGCUUGGCCUUCUGAUAUGGUUAGGAGGGGCCUGAUCAGUGUGGGCCUGCUCAGUGGACCUAGUCAGUUGGGACUUUGUCAGUGAGGCCUAUUUAGUGGGGGGUGGUCAGCAGGUGUCUGCUUAGAGAGGGUCUCAUUAGAGGGAUCUAGUAGUGCAGGUCUUGGUGAGUGGGUUCCUAGUGGCAGACAAAUGUUUGGUGUCUGGUCAAUGCCAACCUGGGCUGUGGGACUUGGUCAGUGGAGACCCUGUCAGCUGGGGCUUAGUUGUGGCCUUGUCAGAUUGGGCUGGGUUACUGGUGACUAGGUCAAGGGGUGCUAUUCAGUGGAGGCCUGGUCACAUGGGACCUAGUCAGCAGAGAUGCUUGUCAGUGGGGCCCUGGUGAGGGCAGGCUGGUCAGUGGAACCUAAUCAGUGGGGGCCUGGUCAGAAAGGACUUGAUCAGUGGUGGCUUUUGUAGCACUGGUCUAUGGGGUGACCAGGUCAGUGGGGAUCUGAGCAGUGCAUGCCUGUUCAGUGGGGCAUAUUCAUUAGAGUCCCAGUCAGGGGCAUCUGGUCACCUCAGGCAUGGUUAGUAGGGGCCUGGUCACUGGCAGCCUAUUCCCUGGAGGCCUGCUCAGUGGGGCUUCAUCUGUGGGACCAGGCAAUGGGGUCAUUAUCGGUGGAACCUGAUCAGCGAGGCCUUGUCAGUAAGGACCUGGUCAGUGAGGCCUUACAAGUGAGGACUUGUCAGUAAGGUCCUCAUCAGUGGAGUCCUGGUCAUUGUGGGCCUGUCAGCGGGAAUCUAGUUAGUGAGGCCUGGUGAUGGGGGUCUAAUCAGUGAGGGUGUGUUCAGGGAGGAUCUGAUAUGCUGGAUCUGGUCAGCAGGGACCUUUUCAGUGGGGGCUGCUGAGCACUGCAGGGAGAUGUCAGGAGAAAUGCAUGUUAUCGAGUACCCUGUGGACAGCUGGGAUGGCCCAGUGGUGUUCAAUGGCCCAGUCAAAAGUGGACAAAGCAGGUGUUUGGAUGGACCUGGGAGAUCUUGCUCAGGGAUUCUGACAGGACAAAAGUAAAGGAAGUACCAGAGUGGCCAGAGAGAUGGUCACAGUCUAUGGGCUGCACAGGAUGGAGGAGGCCAAGGAACAGGCAGGGUGGGCA
rnacentral:lncRNA from 1 species